CUUGAUUAAUUAUAAGAGGUCCAGCCUGCCCAGUGACUUUGUUCAACGGCCGCGGUAUCCUAACCGUGCGAAGGUAGCGUAAUCACUUGUUCUUUAAAUGAGGACUUGUAUGAAUGGCAUCACGAGGGUUAUACUGUCUCCUUUUUCUAAUCAGUGAAACUAAUCUUCCCGUGAAGAAGCGGGGAUAUUAAUAUAAGACGAGAAGACCCUAUGGAGCUUUAAACUCAAUAACAAAUACUAACCCCACUUCAACUUCCAGAGCAAACCCUUAUUUUAGUAUUAUGAUUAUUAGUUUUAGGUUGGGGUGACCGCGGAGUAAAAAAUAACCUCCACAUUGAACGGGACCGAUCCCUGAGCCAAGAGCCACGACCCUAAGCACCAAUAAAUUGACAUUAAUUGACCCAAUAUUUUGAUCAACGAAC
rnacentral:rRNA from 1 species